rnacentral:rRNA from 1 species
CUACGUGCCAGCAGCCGCGGUAAUACGUAGGGGGCAAGCGUUAUCCGGAUUCAUUGGGCGUAAAGCGCUCGUAGGCGGUCUGUUAGGUCGGGAGUUAAAUCCGGGGGCUCAACCCCCGUUCGCUCCCGAUACCGGCAGACUUGAGUUUGGUAGGGGAAGGUGGAAUUCCUAGUGUAGCGGUGGAAUGCGCAGAUAUAUGGAGGAACACCGGUGGCGAAAGCGGCUCUCUGGUCUGUAACUGACGCUGAGGCUCGAAAGCGUGGGGAGCGAACAGGAUUAGAUACCCUGGUAGUCCACGCCGUAAACGAUGAGUGCUAGGUGUUGGAUCCUUUCCGGGAUUCAGUGCCGCAGCUAACGCAUUAAGCACUCCGCCUGGGGAGUACGACCGCAAGGUUGAAACUCAAAGGAAUUGACGGGGGCCCGCACAAGCGGUGGAGCAUGUGGUUUAAUUCGACGCAACGCGAAGAACCUUACCAGGUCUUGACAUUGAUGGACAGAACUAGAGAUAG